AUAUAGUCACUUAACUUAAAUCUUUCUCUUUAGUCUCGUUCAGCCACUGAGGGGAAGGAUGAGAAGCUUCGACCAAGGUUCGAUUCGAGCGCAGCGAGAAAGCGUUGCCGCAGGCAACGACCCGAAGGGCGAGGCGCAACGCGCCGAGUAAUCCUUCCCCCACCACCA
rnacentral:sRNA from 1 species